rnacentral:pre_miRNA from 1 species
UUGACAGAAGAGAGUGAGCACACAAAGGGGAAGUUGUAUAAAAAUCUCUUUUACGGUUGCUUUUGCGUGCUCACUCUCUUUCUGUCAU